rnacentral:rRNA from 1 species
CCAGACUCCUACGGGAGGCAGCAGUGGGGGAUAUUGCACAAUGGGGGGAACCCUGAUGCAGCGACGCCGCGUGGGUGAAGGAGUGCUUCGGCAUGUAAAGCCCUAUCGGCAGGGAAGAAGCAAGACGGUACCUGACUAAGAAGCCCCGGCUAACUACGUGCCAGCAGCCGCGGUAAUACGUAGGGGGCGAGCGUUAUCCGGAUUCACUGGGUGUAAAGGGAGCGUAGACGGCCAUGCAAGCCAGGGGUGAAAGCCCGGGGCCCAACCCCGGGACUGCAUUUGGAACUGUGUGGCUGGAGUGUCGGAGAGGCAGGCGGAAUUCCUAGUGUAGCGGUGAAAUGCGUAGAUAUUAGGAGGAACACCAGUGGCGAAGGCGGCCUGCUGGACGAUGACUGACGUUGAGGCUCGAAAGCGUGGGGAGCAAACAGGAUUAGAUACCCUAGUA